rnacentral:rRNA from 1 species
UACGAAGGGGGCGAGCGUUAUUCGGAAUCACUGGGCGUAAAGCGUGCGUAGGCUGUUUGACAAGUUGGGAGUGAAAGCCCAGGGCUCAACCCUGGAAUUGCUCUCAAAACUGUCAGACUCGAGUCCGGGAGAGGAUAGCGGAAUUUCCAGUGUAGUAGUGAAAUACGUAGAUAUUGGAAGGAACACCAGUGGCGCAAGCGGCUAUCUGGACCGGUACUGACGCUGAGGCACGAAAGCGUGGGGAUCAAACAGGG